rnacentral:rRNA from 1 species
UACGUAGGGACCAAGCGUUGUUCGGAUUUAUUGGGCGUAAAGAGCUCGUAGGCGGCUUAGCAAGUCGGGUGUGAAAACUCCAGGCUCAACCUGGAGACGCCACUCGAGACUGCUAUGGCUAGAGUCCGGUAGGGGACCACGGAAUUCCUGGUGUAGCGGUGAAAUGCGCAGAUAUCAGGAGGAACACCGGUGGCGAAGGCGGUGGUCUGGGCCGGCACUGACGCUGAGGAGCGAAAGCGUGGGGAGCAAACAGG